rnacentral:rRNA from 1 species
AGUUCGAUUAUGGCUCAGAUUGAACGCUGGCGGAUGUUUACACAUGCAAGUCGAACGGCAGCACGGACUUCAGUCUGGUGGCGAGUGGCGAACGGGUGAGUAAUGUAUCGGAACGUGCUCAGUAGCGGUGAUAACUACGAAAGCGUAGCUUAAUACCGCAUGGAUGCCCUCUGGGGGAAGCUGGGGACCUUCGGGCCUCGCACUAUUGAGCGGCCGAUAUCGGAUUAGCUAGUUGGUGGGGUAACGGCUCACCAAGGCGACGAUCCGUAGCUGGUUUGAGAGGACGACCAGCCACACUGGGACUGGAGACACGGCCCAGACUCCUACGGGAGGCAGCAGUGGGGAAUUUUGGACAAAUGGGGAAACCGAUCCAGCCAUCCCGCGUGUGCGUGAUGAAGGCCUCGUCACACUUUUGGCAGAAGAAAUGGCAGUACGGAUAAUACCCGCAACUGACGGUACCUGCAGAAUAAGCACCGGCUAACUACGCCAGCAGCCGCGGUAAUACGUAGGGUGCAAGCGUUAAUCGGAAUUACUGGGCGUAAAGUGCGCGCAGGCGGUUCGGAAAGAAAGAUGUGAAAUCCCAGAGCUUAACUUUGGAACUGCAUUUUUAACUACCGAGCUAGAGCGUGUCAGAGGGAGGUGGAACGCGUGUAGCAGUGAAAUGCGUAGAUAUGCGGAGGAACACCGGAUGGCGAAGGCAGCCUCCUGGGAUAACACUGACGCUCAUGCAUCGAAAGCGUGGGGAGCAAACAGGAUUAGAUACUCCUGGUAGUCCACGCCCUAAACGAUGUCAACUAGCUGUUGGCCUUCGGGCCUUGGUAGCGCAGCUAACGCGUGAAGUUGACCUGGCCCGGGGAGUAUACGGUCGCAAGAUUAAAACUCAAAGGAAUUGACGGGGACCCGCACAAGCGGUGGAUGAUGUGGAUUAAUUCGAUGCAACGCGAAAAACCUUACCUACCCCUGACAUGUUCGAAUCCCGAAGAGAUUUGGGAGUGCUCGCAAGAGAACCCGAACACAGGUGCUGUAUGGUUGCCGUCAGCUCGUGUCGUGAGAUGUUGGGUUAAGUCCCGCAACGAGUGCAACCUUUGUCAUUAGUUGCUACUGAAAGGGCACUCUAUCGAGACUGCCGGUGACAAACCGGAGGAAGGUGGGGAUGACGUCAAGUCCUCAUGGCCCUUAUGGGUAGGGCUUACACGCUGCUGCAAUGGUCGGGACAGAGGUCGCCAACCCGCGAGGGGGAGCUGUCCCAGAAACCCGAUCGUAGUCCGGAUCGUAGUCUGCAACUCGACUGGUGUGAAGUCGGAAUCGCUAGUAAUCGCGGAUCAGCAUGUCGCGGUGAAUACGUUCCCGGGUCUUGUACACACCGCCUGUCACACCAUGGGAGUGGGUUUUACCAGAAGUAGUUAGCCUAACCGUAAGGAGGGCGAUUACCACGGUAGGAUUCAUGACUGGGUGGGAAGUCGUAACAAGGUAG